rnacentral:rRNA from 1 species
AAUGAACGCUGGCGGCAGGCCUAACACAUGCAAGUCGAACGAGAAGCCACCUUCGGGUGGUGGACAGUGGCAGACGGGUGAGUAACGCGUGGGAACGUGCCUUUCGGUUCGGAAUAACCCAGGGAAACUUGGGCUAAUACCGGAUACGCCCUUCGGGGGAAAGAUUCAUUGCCGAAAGAUCGGCCCGCGUCGGAUUAGCUAGUUGGUGGGGUAAUGGCCCACCAAGGCGACGAUCCGUAGCUGGUCUGAGAGGAUGACCAGCCACACUGGGACUGAGACACGGCCCAGACUCCUACGGGAGGCAGCAGUGGGGAAUAUUGGACAAUGGGCGAAAGCCUGAUCCAGCCAUGCCGCGUGGGUGAAGAAGGCCUUAGGGUUGUAAACCCCUUUCAGCGGGGAAGAUAAUGACGGUACCCGCAGAAGAAGUCCCGGCUAACUCCGUGCCAGCAGCCGCCGCCGUAA